UACGUAGGGGGCAAGCGUUGUCCGGAAUCAUUGGGCGUAAAGCGCGUGUAGGCGGCUGGCUAAGUCCGCUCUGAAAGCCCGGGGCUCAACCCCGGGAGGCGGGUGGAUACUGGUCAGCUCGAGUCCGGAAGAGGAGUGUGGAAUUCCUGGUGUAGCGGUGAAAUGCGUAGAUAUCAGGAGGAAUACCGGUGGUGUAGACGGCUCUCUGGACCGCGACUGACGCUGAGACGCGAAAGCGUGGGGAGCGAACAGG
rnacentral:rRNA from 1 species